GCCCGACUAGCCCAACUGGUAGAGGCGCCGGAUUCAGGGUCCGGAGGUUCAGGGUUCGACCCCCUGGUCGGGCA
rnacentral:tRNA from 1 species